rnacentral:rRNA from 1 species
UACAUGCAAGUCGAACGAAAUAUUUAGCACUUGUGUUAAAUAAUUUAGUGGCGAACGGGUGAGUAACACGUAAGAACUUACCCCUAGACGAGGUACAACAGUUGGAAACGACUGCUAAUACCUCAUAUUACCGGAAGGUGAAAGAAGCAAUUCGUCUAGGGCGAGGCUUGCGUCUGAUUAGCUUGUUGGUGAGGUAAAGGCUUACCAAGGCGACGAUCAGUAGUUGGUCUUAGAGGAUGAUCAGCCACAUUGGGACUGAGACACGGCCCAAACUUUUACGGGAGGCAGCAGUAAGGAAUUUUCCGCAAUGGGCGCAAGCCUGACGGAGCAAUACCGCGUGAAGGAUGACGGCCCAUGGGUUGUAAACUUCUUUUCUUGGAGAAGAAUUCUGACGGUAUCCAAGGAAUAAGCAUCGGCUAACUCCGUGCCAGCAGCCGCGGUAAGACGGGGGAUGCAAGCGUUAUUCGGAAUUAUUGGGCGUAAAGCGUCUGUAGGUGGUAAGGAAAGUGUAAUGUUAAAGAUCAGGGCUCAACCCUGGGAAAGCAUUGCAAACUAUCUUACUUGAGUUCGGUAGGGGCAGAGAGAAUUCCCAGUGUAGCGGUGAAAUGCGUAGAUAUUGGGAGGAAGACCGGUGGCGAAGGCGUUCUGCUGGGCCGUAACUGACACUCAGAGACGAAAGCUAAGGUAGCAAAUAGGAUUAGAUACCCUAGUAGUCUUAGCUGUAAACGAUGCACACUAUGUUUUGCAAUUUGCAGAGCAAUAGCUAACGCGUUAAGUGUGCCGCCUGGGGAGUACAUUCGCAAGGAUGAAACUCAAAGGAAUUGACGGGGACCCGCACAAGCGGUGGAGCAUGUGGUUUAAUUCGAUGCAACGCGAAGAAUCUUACCAAGAAUUGACAUGCUGCGAACGUUUACGAAAGUAAAAAGUCUAUUACUUAGUUAAUAGCGCAGACACAGGUGGUGCAUGUUGUCGUCAGCUCGUGCCGUGAGUGUUAGGUUAAGUCCUGCAACGAGCGCAACCCUUGUCUUUAGUAUAUUCUAGAGAGACUGCCGGUGAUAACCGGAGGAAGGUGAGGAUGACG